GACGAACGCUGGCGGCGUGCUUAACACAUGCAAGUCGAACGGAAAGGCCCUGCUUUUGUGGGGUGCUCGAGUGGCGAACGGGUGAGUAACACGUGAGUAACCUGCCCUUGACUUUGGGAUAACUUCAGGAAACUGGGGCUAAUACCGGAUAGGAGCUCCUGCUGCAUGGUGGGGGUUGGAAGGUUCGGCGGUUGGGGAUGGACUCGCAGCUUAUCAGCUUGUUGGUGGGGUAGUGGCUUACCAAGGCUUUGACGGGUAGCCGGCCUGAGAGGGUGACCGGCCACAUUGGGACUGAGAUACGGCCCAGACUCCUACGGGAGGCAGCAGUGGGGAAUAUUGCACAAUGGGCGGAAGCCUGAUGCAGCAACGCCGCGUGCGGGAUGACGGCCUUCGGGUUGUAAACCGCUUUCGCCUGUGACGAAGCGUGAGUGACGGUAAUGGGUAAAGAAGCACCGGCUAACUACGUG
rnacentral:rRNA from 1 species